rnacentral:RNase_P_RNA from 3 species
CCAGCUGGCCGGGCGGCCGCACGCGCAAUUGCCGAAAGGCCGCGCGUGAGGAAAGUCCGGGCUCCAUGGAAACACGGUGCCGGUUAAUGGCCGGCGGGGGAAACCCCAGGGAAAGCGCCACAGAAAGCAGACCGCCCCGCCUGCAGGCCGGCCUUUCGCAGCGGCAUAACCGCUGCGCGGACCGGCUUGCUGGCGGGGCAAGGGUGAAAGGGUGGGGUAAGAGCCCACCGCGCGCCUGGCAACAGGGGCGGCACGGCAAGCCCCACCGGGAGCAAGACCGAAUAGGGACGGCGAGGGAGUUCGCUCCCGGGCAGUUUCCGGCCCAGUCGUCCGGGUAGGUUGCAUGAGGCGGGCAGCGAUGUCCGUCCAAGAUGAAUGGCCGCCACGUUCCGGCGCAGCGAUGCGGCGGGGCCAUACAGAACCCGGCUUACAGGCCGGCUGGCACC